GACGAACGCUGGCGGCGUGCUUAACACAUGCAAGUCGAACGGAAAGGCCCUGCUUUUGUGGGGUGCUCGAGUGGCGAACGGGUGAGUAACACGUGAGUAACCUGCCCUUGACUUUGGGAUAACUUCAGGAAACUGGGGCUAAUACCGGAUAGGAGCUCCUGCUGCAUGGUGGGGGUUGGAAAGUUUCGGCGGCUGGGGAUGGACUCGCGGCUUAUCAGCUUGUUGGUAGGGUAGUGGCUUACCAAGGCUUUGACGGGUAGCCGGCCUGAGAGGGUGACCGGCCACAUUGGGACUGAGAUACGGCCCAGACUCCUACGGGAGGCAGCAGUGGGGAAUAUUGCACAAUGGGCGGAAGCCUGAUGCAGCAACGCCGCGUGCGGGAUGACGGCCUUCGGGUUGUAAACCGCUUUCGCCUGUGACGAAGCGUGAGUGACGGUAAUGGGUAAAGAAGCACCGGCUAACUACGUG
rnacentral:rRNA from 1 species